UACGAAGGGGGCUAGCGUUGUUCGGAAUUACUGGGCGUAAAGCGCACGUAGGCGGAUAUUUAAGUCAGGGGUGAAAUCCCAGAGCUCAACUCUGGAACUGCCUUUGAUACUGGGUAUCUUGAGUAUGGAAGAGGUUAGUGGAAUUGCGAGUGUAGAGGUGAAAUUCGUAGAUAUUCGCAGGAACACCAGUGGCGAAGGCGGCUACCUGGUCCAUAACUGACGCUGAGGUGCGAAAGCGUGGGGAGCAAACAGG
rnacentral:rRNA from 1 species